rnacentral:rRNA from 1 species
UACGUAGGCAGCAAGCGUUGUUCGGAAUACUGGGCGUAAAGCGUGCGCAGGCGGUUGUGCAAGACAGAUGUGAAAUCCCCGGGCUCAACCUGGGAAUUGCAUUUGUGACUGCACGGCUAGAGUGUGUCAGAGGGGGGUAGAAUUCCACGUGUAGCAGUGAAAUGCGUAGAGAUGUGGAGGAAUACCGAUGGCGAAGGCAGCCCCCUGGGAUAACACUGACGCUCAGGCACGAAAGCGUGGGGAGCGA